rnacentral:rRNA from 1 species
GGAUCAUUACUGAGUUACAAACUCCCAAACCCGUGUGAACCUACCACUGUUGCUUCGGCGGCCACGCCCCGGGAGCCACCUGCGCCCCCCGGAUCCAGGCGUCCGCCGGAGGACCCAAACUCUUGAUUUUACAGAGAAUCUUCUGAGUACACUACAAAAUGAAUCAAAACUUUCAACAACGGAUCUCUUGGUUCUGGCAUCNAUGAAGAACGCANCGAAAUGCGAUAAGUAAUGUGAAUUGCANAAUUCAGUGAAUCAUCNAAUCUUUGAACGCACAUUGCGCCCGCCAGUAUUCUGGCGGGCAUGCCUGUCCGAGCGUCAUUUCAACCCUCGGGGGCCCCUUUCCAGGGGCCNNNGGUUGUUGGGGAUCGCCCGCCGCUCCAGGCGGUCGUCCCCCCAAAAGUAUUGGCGGUCUCGCUGUAGCCUCCUCUGCGCAGUAGCUAUUGUUCUCGCAGGCGGAGCGCGGCGCGGCCUCGCCGUUAAACCCCCAACUUUCACAAGGUUGACCUCGGAUCAGGUAGGAAUACCCGCUGAACUUA